UAGAAGAGAUUUCACUAGUGAUUUAAAUUCAUUUUCAGAAACAAAGCACAAAACUGGAUGUUCAAGAAUUUGAUGAGAUCCCUUCAAACUGUGUUAAAGUUGCUGGAUAUAUGAGCUAAUAAUUAUUUAUUUUGUUCUUGUAUUUUAGGCCUCAACUCCAUAUAGCAUAGAUUCAGAUUCUUUGGGAAUGGAGUGUAUUAUUUCGGGAAGUGCCUCUCCAACUCUGGCAAUCAACACUGUGACUAACAAAGUAACAUUGUAUAACACUGAUCAGGAUGGUAGUGAUAGCCCACGCAGUAGCCUUAACAACAGUCUCUCAGACCAGAGUUUGGCAUCUGUUAAUUUGAACAGUGUUGGAAGUGUGCAUAGUUAUACACCGGUGACAAGCCAUCCAGAAUCAGUCUCUCAAUCAUUAACUCCUCAGCAGCAACCACAGUACAACCUUCC
rnacentral:lncRNA from 1 species